AAUGCACGCUUACGCAGGUGCCCACGGCAAGUCUGCUCGCCACCCGUUUUUUUCCUCCGCCUCUGGAAGCACAUCGUUUCUUUCUCAGUGUCUCGCCUGUGCGCAUUGCAGGUGUGACUCUCCUCCAUCCCCCUUCGUUGUGUGACCGUUACGCAGCCCGUUACCGGUCACUCCUGUGCACUCACACUCGCACGGUCACCUUACUGCCCCCUUGUCGACAUGACCAAGUCGUACCUCAGCCCGGACCAGCAGCUGCGGGCGCAGCAGGUGUAUACGACGCACAAGCACCUGAAGGAGCUGAACAUGGCCACCAAAGAGGCUCUGAUAUAUCACGACAAGUACAUUGCCGCUAUGGAGAAAGUAAUAAGCUGCCUCUUGAACAACAGCGACGCCAUGGAGGACGCGCGGAAGCACCUCGCUCAGGAGGCGGCGGUGGACAUUCAGCCCACGUCUCCGACGGCUGGCCGCCUCGCCGCUGCGUACAGCAACUGGCGCGUCUCUGCCGAGCUGCACAUGAUGCGAACGGAGCUGGAGUUUCUAAAAGAGGUCAGCACCACUGGCCGUGAGGCAGUCAAGAAGACGAAGAAUGCCGUGCACGGACUGGAAAAGGUGGCGAAGAAGUGUGCCCACGUGAACUCGCCGGAGUUCGAAGCCAAGAUCUCCAACAAGUCUGCCAAGGCGCUGGAGAAGCUGUUGCAUGAGCAGCGGGAAACAAAUACGAUGAUGAUGAGCAUGGAGAAUGCCAUUAAGAACGACAUGAUGUCACUCGCGACGUCAUGGUCUGCGAAGCUUGUAACUCGCGGUGACGCACUCUACACAGCCUUUCGGAGCCUUGGUUGUAGAACAGUGGCUUGUUUUCCGACCACUGCCCUGACCCUGCCGCAAAGGAUGCCUCCCCCUACAGCUGGAUAUGUGCUGCCGCCGCCAUCCUCCGCCAGCACGUCGGAGUCGUACAGUGGGGGCAACGCAGUCGGCUAUGGUACCCCCUCCGCCUACCCAGCAGCCCAGGGUGCUGAGUGUGCGGCAGUGCCUCUCAGCUCAGCAGGUGAAGGUGCAGCUGAAGGCGUUACGCUUGAGUUUAACCUGAACGAAGGCAAACCCGUGUCGCGGUAGAUGAGCGAGUAGUCGAGCCACCAGCGAAGACGAAAGUGGCAGAGAGGGAAGGAGGAUGGUUGGGCUUAACAUUGGCGUCGACAUGUUGUUCCUUUAUGCGUGUGUGGCACGUUCAGCUAUAGUGUCCACUGCGGUUCCUCCACACGGUGCAAUCCGCGUCACGGGAGCGCCACCACAUCGCCUGGGCGUCUCUGCUGCUUCAUCCUAGAGACGAUCUCCACCAAAGGGGGGAGGAGGUGCCCUCUCCGACAGUCCGAUCUCGGCCGUGCUGCUUGUUGCGUGCUGUCGCAAAGGCGGUAAAGUGCUUCGUCCGCCACUGCUUCUUGUCAAUGUUGUUGCCUAUCGGUCUUUCC
rnacentral:misc_RNA from 1 species